rnacentral:rRNA from 1 species
GAUGAACGCUAGCGGCAGGCUUAACACAUGCAAGUCGAGGGGUAUAGUAGCAAUACUAGAGACCGGCGCACGGGUGCGUAACGCGUAUGCAAUCUACCUUUUACAGAGGGAUAGCCCAGAGAAAUUUGGAUUAAUACCUCAUAGCAUUGCGAAAUGGCAUCAUUUUGCAAUUAAAGUCACAACGGUAAAAGAUGAGCAUGCGUCCCAUUAGCUAGUUGGUAAGGUAACGGCUUACCAAGGCAACGAUGGGUAGGGGUCCUGAGAGGGAGAUCCCCCACACUGGUACUGAGACACGGACCAGACUCCUACGGGAGGCAGCAGUGAGGAAUAUUGGACAAUGGGCGCAAGCCUGAUCCAGCCAUGCCGCGUGCAGGAUGACGGUCCUAUGGAUUGUAAACUGCUUUUUGUACGAGAAGAAACACUCCGACGUGUCGGAGCUUGACGGUAUCGUAAGAAUAAGGAUCGGCUAACUCCGUGCCAGCAGCCG